UUUCUCCAGGUCUCUUAAGGGGGACUUUCAGGGUACCAUGGGAGAAAAUCUGGAAAGCAGGAAGGAAGAAAAGAAGCCCCCUGACUCCUCCUGAGCCCCAGACAGCCCAUGAACUGCCUUGCUGGGAAUGGUAGGACAGGCUGGACUCUGGAUUGCUCCCUCUGGAUGUGUGGCUCUCCCCUCAGGAACUCCAGGAACUCCUGGUGCUGCCUGGGCCGAUGGAUUGGACGCCCCAGCCCCUCCGUUCCUGCCCAGCCACUGGGUCCGUGUCCAGUGGUGGCACUGCCAGCCCUGCAGUGGGAUGUAGCCUGGAAACUGCAGAGAGCUGAGCCAAGGGAUUGAAAGGGAGCAACCAAGGGAGGUGAAGAAAGAAGGAAGAAGGGAAGUGAGGCAGCAGGCAAGCAGCAGCAAGUUGCUGUGUAAGCAGGUGAGUUUUGUUGAGGUUCCUAAGGCAGGCACUGAGGACUUUGAGGGCUCCAGACAGAGCAGACCUGGGAAGGCCCUCGGUGAAGCCCCUUGGAAACCUUCUAAGGGUAGGUGUGUAUGGUAAUAAGUGUUGGAGAAUGUCCUGACUGUGGAACAGGAAUGCAGGGAAGGAAAAUGAACCCUCCUGUAAUGCUGACCCCUCCCAUCAGCUGCAGUAGAGAUAGCUGUGUGUGCCCUUUGGGAGCUGAUUGCCAGGACCCCCGUGGGGCUGGGAUCAUGGCAGAGUGUUGUAAGCAAGGAAUGCCUGGCUUCUAAAACUCACCAACUGAGACUUAGUGGUUCCUUUGAAGAGCUGAUUUCAGGCAGGAAAAUUGCCCCCCCAGGAGGGACUCUGUGCCUGCUCUCCCAUGGCUCCAAGGGAUCUCUGGCCCUUCACGCCGGCACCGAGAUUUUCUCGGGAAGGGCCUCAGAUCCCCGGACCAGUCUGGGACACAGGCAAGAUCCCCCUGCCUUUAGAAAUGAGGCCUUCUUGUGGCUUCCUCCCCAUACCCGUUGGUGGGUUCCAAAGAAGGCCUCUUGAAAUGCCUUUUGGGCUGUCCAUGGCAAGCUUGAGACCAAAUUGGCCCCCUGGAGGGACAGUGCUGUUGGUGCCCCCGGGUUGGGGCACCCCGAGGACUCCAGCGCGCACCGAAAGGAUUAUUCGGGGAGAUCCUCGGGGUGCCCGGCCCUGGGGAGCUCAAAGCAAGGUCCCUGCAAUGGAUUCAGGCAUUGCUGAGAGUAUCCCAGGGGUACCUGUCCCUGCUAGACAUGGAGCUCUCUAAUGGACUGUAAUUGGGUUCUAAAAGUGGUGCUCCAAGUGCCAAAGAAGUGUGGGAUUGGGAUUAAGAAAUGAGCAGUGAUGGUGCAAUUGGCUGUUUUCUCUUGAAUAUAAGGAUAAGAGCUGCAGGAGUGCCAGGUGUGUGUUCCAUUCCCCAGCAUUUGGUUUGCACAUGUCCUGGUCAGACACAGGUCCAACUUCCUCAGUCCUUAACCCAAUAGAGGGAGAAUGAAGGACUGGCAGUGUUAAGGUGAUUGGUGUGACAGGGGUUAAACUGGGAAAACAUUGGGGAAUUCCUGAGUUUGUCUGUUUGCCAAACUCACCCAAACCUGUGCUAGGAAGAGAUUGAGUGGAAAAGUUGAGGCAGAAAUGAAAUGGAAAACUGGGGCUAUUGAAACUGUAAUUGCUGAAACUAAAUGUGUCCAAGCAGCAGCUCUUGUUGUGCAGGGAAUAACUCCUGUCAGCAGCAAGGUCCCAACUGAAGUGGCAGCUGCAGUUGUUCCUGUGGUGUGGGCCAGUGGAAUUGCAGGAGAGUGGAAGAGGGCAGAACCUGUAGGUAUUACCCCUGAUGUGGGAUCUAUAUGGGAUGUGAAUGCAAGAACCUGCCAAGGAACCAAUGACCAAGAUGAUUGAUCAGUGCAGGAUCUGAGAGAAGCACCUUGAAUGACAACCUCGAGCAGUUUCCAGUGUUGGAUUGAAAAGAUGGCCUUUGCUGCAUCUCCUUGAACAAGGAAAGCCAAGAAACCUAUGAUUUGGAAGGAGAAAACCUGGAAAGCAGGAAGGAAGAAAAGAAGCUCCCUGACUCCUCCUGAGCCCCAGACAGCCCAUGAACUGCCUUGCUGGGAAUGGUAGGACGGGGUGGACUCUGGAUUGCUCCCUCUGGAUGUGUGGCUCUCCCCUCAGGAACUCCAGGAACUCCUGGUGCCGCCUGGGCCGAUGGAUUGGACGCCCCAGCCCCUCCGUUCCUGCCCAGCCACUGGGUCCGUGUCCAGUGGUGGGACUGCCAGCCCUGCAGUGGGAUGUAGCCUGGAAAGUGCACAGAGCUGAGCUAAGGGAUUGAAAGGGAUCAAGCAAGGGAGGUGAAGAAAGAAGGAAGAAGGGGAGUGAGGCAGCAGCCAAGCAGCAGCAAGUUGCUGUGUAAGCAGGUGAGUUGUGUUGAGGUUCCUAAGGCAGGCACUGAGGACUUUGAGGGCUCCAGACAGAGCAGACCUGGGAAGGCCCUCGGUGAAGCCCCUUGGAAACCUUCUAAGGGUAGGUGUGUAUGGUAAUAAGUGUUGGAGAAUGUCCUGACUGUGGAACAGGAAUGCAGGGAAGGAAAAUGAAUCCUCCUGUAAUGCUGACCCCUCCCAUCAGCUGCAGUGGAUACACCUCCGUGUGGCCUUUGGGAUCUGAUUGCCAGGACCCCCGUUGGGCUGGGAUCAUGGCAGGGUGUUGUAAGCAAGGAAUGCCUGGCUUCUAAAACUCACCAGCUGAGACUUAGAGGUUCCUUUGAAGAGCUGAGUUCAGGCAGCAGAAUUGGCCUCCAGGAGGGACUCUGUGCCUGCUCUCCCGUGGCUCCAAGGGAUCUCUGGCCCUUCACGCCGGCACUGAGAUUUUCUCGGGAAGGGCCUCAGAUCCCCGGACCAGUCUGGGACACAGGCAAGAUCCCCCUGCAUUUUAGGACCAAAUUGUGCCCCCCUGGAGGGACAGUGCUGUUGGUGCCCCCCGGGUUGGGCCACCCCGAGGACUCCAGCGCGCACCGAAAGGAUUAUUCGGGGAGAUCCUCGGGGUGCCCGGCCCUGGGGAGCUCAAAGCAAGGUCCCUGCAAUGGAUUCAGGCAUUGCUGAGAGUAUCCCAGGGGUAGCUGUCCCUGCUAGACAGGGAGCUCUCUAAUGGACUGUAAUUGGGUGAUAAAAGUGUUGCUCCAAGUGCCAAAGAAGUGUGGGAUUGGGAUUAAGAAAUGAGCAGUGAUGGUCCAAUUGGCUGGUUUCUCUGGAAUGUAAUGGUAAGAGCUGCAGGAGUGCCAGGUGUGUGUUCCAGUCCCCAGCAUUUGGUUUGCACAUGUCCUGGUCAGACACAGGUCCAACUUCCUCAGUCCUUUAACACAAUAGAGGGAGAAUUAAGGACUGGCAGUGUUAAGGUGAUUGGUGUGACAGGGGUUAAACUGGGAAAACAUUGGGGAAUUCCUCAGUUGGUCUCUUUGCCAAACUCACCCAAACCUCUGCUAGGAAGAGAUUGAGUGGAAAAGUUGAGGCAGAAAUGAAAUGGAAAACUGGGGCUAUUGAAACUGUAAUUGCUGAAACUAAAAGUGUCAAAGCAGCAGCUCUUGUUGUGCAGGGAAUAACUCCUGUCAGCAGCAAGGUCCUGACUGAAGUGGCAGCUGCAGUUGUUCCUGUGGUGUGGGCCGUGGAACUGCAGGAGAGUGGAAGAGGGCAGGACCUGUAUGACAUAAAUGCAAGAACCUGCCAAGAAACCAAUGUCCAAGAUGAUUGAUGAGUGCAGGACCUGAGAGAAGCACCUUGAAUGACAACCUCGAGGAGUUUCCAGUAUUGGAUUGCAAAGAUGGCCUUUGCUGCAUCUGCUUGAGCAAGGAAAGCCAAGAAACCUUUGCUUUGGAAGGAGAAAAUCUGGAAAGCAGGAAGGAAGAAAAGCAGCCCCCUGACUCCUCCCUGAGCCCCAGACAGCCCAUGAACUGCCUUGCUGGGAAUGGUAGGACGGGCUGGACUCUGGAUUUCUCCCUCUGGAUGUGUGGUAAGACUGUUCUGCCAACUUUUCAGAACAGCCUGUAAGCAUUUGCUGUCUUGGCUAGAUGGUGCAAGGGCAGCCUUUAAGCAGCUGAAGCAUUCCCUGAGGAGAGCUCUGGGUCUGCCAGAUGUCUCAGAAGUGUUGGAAGCAUCUUUGGUGGGGAGGGCAAACAAAGGCCAAGGUGUGCAGUGACCCCCCUGAGAAGGGACUUUGAGUUAAUGGCAUCCCUGCAAGUGAACUUUGUGGGCUGUUCCCCCUGUAGGGCAGGUGAUAGUCCCAGCUACAGUGAUGGGGAAAAUGG